AAGUCGUAACAAGGUUUCCGUAGGUGAACCUGCGGAAGGAUCAUUAGUAGUGUUGGAGGGGGGGGGUGGAUGGGUGUGUUGGUGUUGGGUGUGGUGUUGGAUGAUUGUGAGGCGUGAGCCGAGCGGUGGCCAGCGCCUAUUCCCAUGCCAUCUCACGCCAUCUGUUCCUGUCUCAUUGACAGACGCCCGCAAGGGUGGCUGUAGACAAGUGUGACUGUAGACAUGUACAUAAGCAAAAACAACUUUUAACAAUGGAUCUCUUGGCUCCU
rnacentral:misc_RNA from 1 species